CCAAUAGCGUAUAUUAAAGUUGUUGCAGUUAAAAAGCUCGUAGUUGAACUUCGGGGUCUACCCAUUGGUCAGGCUUAAUUGUCUGCACUGGUGAGAUGGAUCUCUACCUUCUGAGGAACUUUCAUGCCAUUUAUUUGGUGUGAUGGGAAAUCAGGACUGUUACUUUGAAAAAAUUAGAGUGUUUAAAGCAGACUAUCGUCUGAAUACAUUAGCAUGGAAUAAUGAAAUAGGACGGACUGAUUCUAUUUCGUUGGUUUCUAGGAUCACCGUAAUGAUUAAUAGGGAUAGUUGGGGGCAUUAGUAUUCAAUUGUCAGAGGUGAAAUUCUUGGAUUUAUUGAAGACUAACUACUGCGAAAGCAUUUGCCAAGGAUGUUUUCAUUAAUCAAGAACGAAAGUUAGGGGAUCGAAGACGAUCAGAUACCGUCGUAGUCUUAACCAUAAACUAUGCCGACUAGGGAUCGGACGAAGUUAUUUAUAAUGACGCGUUCGGCACCUUACG
rnacentral:misc_RNA from 1 species